CCUACGGGUGGCAGCAGUGAGGAAUAUUGGUCAAUGGACGCGAGUCUGAACCAGCCAAGUAGCGUGAAGGAUGACUGCCCUCUGGGUUGUAAACUUCUUUUAUAUGGGAAUAAAAUGUUCCACGGUCGGGAUUUUGUAUGUACCAUAUGAAUAAGGAUCGGCUAACUCCGUGCCAGCAGCCGCGGUAAUACGGAGGAUCCGAGCGUGAUCCGGAUUGAUUGGGUUUAAAGGGGUAGUAGGUGGAUUGUUAAGACAGUUGUGAAAGUUUGCGGCUCAACCGUGAAAAUGCAGUUAGAACUGGCAGUCUUGAGUACGGUAGAGGUGGGCGGAAUACGUGGUGUAGCGGUGAAAUGCUUAGAUAUCGCGUAGAACUCCGAUUGCGAAGGCAGCUCACUGGACUGCAACUGACACUGAGGCUCGAAAGUGUGGGUAUCAAACAGGAUUAGAUACCCCUGUAGUC
rnacentral:rRNA from 1 species